GAUGAACGCUAGCGGCAGGCCUAACACAUGCAAGUCGAACGGUAACAGAGGGAGCUUGCUCCCUGCUGACGAGUGGCGCACGGGUGCGUAACGCGUAUACAAUCUACCUUUUACAGGGGUAUAGCCUUUAGAAAUGAAGAAUAAUCCCCCAUAACAUCACAUAAUGGCAUCAUUACAUGAUUAAAGCUUCGGUGGUAAAAGAUGAGUAUGCGUUCUAUUAGCUAGUAGGUGAGGUAACGGCUCACCUAGGCUACGAUAGAUAGGGGCCCUGAGAGGGGGAUCCCCCACACUGGUACUGAGACACGGACCAGACUCCUACGGGAGGCAGCAGUGAGGAAUAUUGGACAAUGGGCGCAAGCCUGAUCCAGCCAUGCCGCGUGCAGGAAGACUGCCCCUAUGGGUUUGUAAAACUGCUUUUAUAUAGGAAGAAACCCCGAUACGUGUAUUGGGCUGACGGUACUAUAAGAAUAAGCAUCGGCUAACUCCGU
rnacentral:rRNA from 1 species